AAAAGACAGAUCAAUGAAGUGUUCAAUUUCUAUAGCCUUUUCUGUGUUCCCGACCACCACCCCUGACCACCACACCUACGACAAGAAAAACGAACAGUGAAAGGACUAAAAUAUUCAUGGAGUGGCAAACAAGAUACAUAAGAGAAAGUACUAUAGAAGAGACAUGCAUGGGUCUCCUUGCUUUGUUCCUUAUUUUGGAGAAACUGCUGGAGAUAAGAACCUCAAAGAUGAUGAAUGCAGUGGCUGGCCAUUGGAAGUUGACAACAACAAAUUGAGAGUGGUCAUCGAAGCUGAUCCUCUUACAACUGCAUGAGAAGUUGCUGCACAAUUCAACAUCAACCAUUCUAUGGUCAUUUGGCAUUUGGAGCAAAUUGGAAAGUUCAAUAAGUGGGUGCCUCAUGAGCCCACUGAAAAUAAAAGAAACUGUCGUUUUUGAAGUGUGAUUAUAUGCAACAACAACAAAACAUUUCUCGAUCGGAUUGUGAUGUGCAAUGAACAGUGGACUUCAUAUGACAACUGGUGAUGGCCAGCUCGGUGGUUGGACCGAGAAGAAGCUCCAAAGCACUUUCCAACACCAAACUUGCACCAAAAACUGGUCAUGGUCACCGUUGGGCAGUCUGCUGUCCGUCUGAUCCACUACAGCUUUCUAAAUUCCAGUGGAAACUUUCCAUCUGAGAAGUGUGAUCAGAAAAUCAAUGAGAUGCACCCAAACUGCAGUGUGUGCAGCUGGCGUCGGUCAACAGAAAGGGCACAAUUCUUCUGUAUGACAACACUCAACCACACGUCUCACAACCAACGCUUCAAAAGUUGAACGAACUGGCCUAUGAAGGUUGGCCUCAUCUGCCAUGUUCACCUCAUCUCUCGCCAGCCGACUAUCAUUUCUUCAAGCAUCUUGACAACUUUUUGCAGGGAAAACAGUUCCACAAACCAGCAGGAGGCAGAAACUGUUUUCCAAGAGUUCACUGAAUCCUGAAGAAUGGAUUUUUACAUUACAGGAAUAUUGGCUAAAAUGUGUUGAUUUUAAUGGUUCCUAUUUUGAUUAAUAAAGAUGUGUUUGAGCCUAGUUAUAAUGAUUUAAAAUUCGCAGUCCAAAACCAUAAUUACAUUGCACCAACCUAAUAUAUUUGUUAUAUAGCACAUUUCUGUUCUUGUGUUGUCUUUACCUUUGGUAUCAGGUAAAUCUGGUCUAAUAAAAUGAGAUUGGAA